rnacentral:snRNA from 1 species
GUGCUUUCUUUGGCAGCACAUACACUAAAAUGAGAAUAAUACCGAGAAGAUUAGCAUGGCCCAUGUGCAAGGAUGACAUGCAAAUUCGUGAAGUAUUCCAUGUAUUU